CAGAGUAGGGACGGCGCGUUAAGUGCCGGCGGAUGGGAAGUUGCCGCCGGACGAAAGCAAGCUUGCUGCGGUGCCGUACCCGCAUCCGCUGC
rnacentral:ncRNA from 1 species